GCCAUAGCUCUAACAACCGUGUUGGACCAUGAUGUUUUAUGUAUCUAAGUCAUCUCUAUACCCGAUGUGGUGCUCGAUCUCACGACCCAGAGAUCAAGAGUUGCACGUUCGUCUGAGUGAGUCAGCCAGCGGCCCCUUGGUUUCAUCAUCUUGAAAAGAAGUAGUAAGGGUCAGCGAGCUGCCUGAGCGAGUUCUUGAGGUUGACAGCGAUCAGUGCUCCCAGCACAGACUGGAGAAACAGAACGUCAUUCUU